UUAGCUCAUUUACAAAAGAUUAAGCUUUCUCGUCCAUUACUUGGACCGUCCACUUUGGACACCGAGUGGCUCCUGUCCACUCUGUUUGACGCCUCCCUGUUAUCAACUUUUUAGCCGCCGGAAACGGCGGCUUUUUUUUG
rnacentral:sRNA from 1 species